rnacentral:tRNA from 1 species
GGGUGCAGCUUAGUGGUAGAGUGUGUGCUCUGGCAUGUUUGAGGCCCCGGGUUCCAUCCCUGGGAGCACUCA